rnacentral:rRNA from 1 species
GACGAACGCUGGCGGCGUGCUUAACACAUGUAAGUCGAACGGAAAGGCCCUGCUUUUGUGGGGUGCUCGAGUGGCGAACGGGUGAGUAACACGUGAGUAACCUGCCCUUGACUUUGGGAUAACUUCAGGAAACUGGGGCUAAUACCGGAUAGGAGUUCCUGCUGCAUGGUGGGGGUUGGAAAGUUUCGGCGGUUGGGGAUGGACUCGCGGCUUAUCAGCUUGUUGGUGGGGUAGUGGCUUACCAAGGCUUUGACGGGUAGCCGGCCUGAGAGGGUGACCGGCCACAUUGGGACUGAGAUACGGCCCAGACUCCUACGGGAGGCAGCAGUGGGGAAUAUUGCACAAUGGGCGGAAGCCUGAUGCAGCAACGCCGCGUGCGGGAUGACGGCCUUCGGGUUGUAAACCGCUUUCGCCUGUGACGAAGCGUGAGUGACGGUAAUGGGUAAAGAAGCACCGGCUAACUACGUG